CACAGAUGAACUAGUGAUUUGGAAGAUACGACUUUCAGAAUAAGGGAUUGCCACAAACGGCAAGAAACCGACGUAGGAAAUGCGAUGUGUAUUCCUGCAGAAUCUAAAAGCGACUAAAAGCAGCUAAGACCAAGAAACAUCUGACAACAAAUGCUGGCAAGGACAUGGGGAAGAAAACGGACUCACUCCUGAUGGGAGUGCCAACUGCUCUAGCCAUUGUUGAAACCAUGUGGAGAAUUCUCAAAAGCUGAAAGUAGAUCUACCAUAUGGUCCAGCUAUACCACCCAUUGGCCCAUACUCAAAGGACUCGACAUCCUACUUCACAGAUAAUGACCAGCCAUGUUCAUUUGAUGUUCUAUUCACAGUAGCUCGGAAUGGGAGAUACCCUAAAUAUCCUUCCACCUGAAAUGACUAAGGUCCUGUCAUCUUGAUCUGAGUCCAUUUUGUGCAAGCUUAGUCUGUUCUCAGCCCUCUAUCCUCUUCCCUUCAACAG